CAGCAGCCACGGUAAUACGUAGGGUGCGAGCGUUAAUCGGAAUUACUGGGCGUAAAGCGUGCGCAGGCGGUUAUAUAAGACAGAUGUGAAAUCCCCGGGCUCAACCUGGGACCUGCAUUUGUGACUGUAUAGCUAGAGUACGGUAGAGGGGGAUGGAAUUCCGCGUGUAGCAGUGAAAUGCGUAGAUAUGCGGAGGAACACCGAUGGCGAAGGCAAUCCCCUGGACCUGUACUGGCGCUCAUGCACGAAAGCGUGGGGAGCAAACAGGAUUAGAUACCCCAGUAGUCCCUGUCCUUAUACA
rnacentral:rRNA from 1 species